UCUAUUAUACACUGCAUGGGCCGGCUCCUGGCGGGAUGGACAGAGACCUGCCACGACUUCUUUGAAAAAUGCAUUUUUAUUUACCCCGCCAGGAAGCAACACAUGUUUAUUGAGGAACACUUGGAAAACCCAGAAAAACUGAAGGAAGAAAACACUUAGCUGAAGACAACCAUUCAAAAGAUGCUAGAAAGAGAAAGAGUUUCCAUCCCAGCUGGAGGCAAGAGAGUAAUGAACUGCAAAGAAUCACUGGAGAUGAUCACAAUCACUGGAGAUGAUCACUGGAGAAUCACAAUCAAUGGAGAUGCUGAGGGAACCCUGAAGGCCAGGGCACAGAUGGCAUAAUGGCACAGAUUCACGGUAUUAUCAGAGACAAAGUCCCAGCUAAGCACAGGCAUUGAAGCCUAAGAAAUAAAAAAUCAGAUGUAAUCGAGCUAAGAUGAGGCCACACUGGAAUAGGACUGGUGUCCUUAUAAGAAGAGGGAAAUUUGGACACAGAAACACAGAAUAUAGGCCUGGUGAAGAUGAUGGCAGAGAUUGGAGUGAUGCAACCACAAGCCAAGGAAAUCCAAGGACUGCCAACACCAGAAGAGAGGCAUGGGACAGAUUAUCCGUGAGAACCUCCAUAAGGAACUAACCCCGCUGACAACUUCAUUUCAGACUUGUGGCCUCCAGAACUGAAAAUGAAGACAUUUCUGUUGUCUUAAGCCACCAGUUUGUGCUAAUUUAUUACAGCAGUACUAGCAAACUAAAACACUGUGAAGCCAUUUAUAAUCUUCCCAAAGCUCUCAUUUCUUUUGCCGUCUCCACAUUUACCAUGAUUUUUUUUUUUAACUUGCUACUUAAUGUCGCUUAAGUGAAGGAAAAAUGUCAUUUAAAAUUAUUAGCACAGGGUGCCU